GGAUGCUUUAAAUCAAAUUACCAAGAAAUUGGGAGCAACAAACUGGAAUUUCAAUGCUGAUAACGCCUGUGGAAAUUUAUCAGAUCAAGCAACAGGUGGGAAGAGAAACAUCUUAUGUAGCUGUGUAUUCCCGAAUAACACUUGCCGCGUUGUAUCCCUGUGUUUGGAUUGAAUUUCAGGGAAAUCAAGAACUUCAGUCUUCCAGGAGAACUUCCAUCUGAACUCAUUAAGCUUCCUUACGUCGACAAAAUUAUUUUGCUUACAACUACCUAAGCGGUUCCAUACCAAAAGAAUGGGCUUCCAUGCAGUUGAAGUCCAUCUCUCUUUUGGUAAAUCGAUUAUCUGGGAAUAUUCCUAGCUAUUUGGGGAACUUCACCAAUCUUACAUACCUGAGCCUUGAAGCAAACGAAUUUUCUGGACCAGUCCCUAAGGA
rnacentral:misc_RNA from 1 species